UUCACGAACGGAGCAAGCACAUCCGGGUGAAGUAUCACUUCAUCCGAGGCUGCUUGGAGGAAGGAAGCAUCAAGGCGAGCUACAUCAACACCAAGGAUCAGCUUGCGGAUCUGCUCACCAAGCCCCUUGGGAGGAUCAAGUUUCUUGAGCUUUGCUCCAGGACUGGGAUGGUCCAAUCUUCCCACAAGACGACACACAAGACUUAGGGGGAGAAUGAUGGAUAAGUCUUUGUACUCUGGUCUUUGUGGGGCCCUGUACUUGUGGGGCUGCAGCAACUUUCCUGCUGCAUUGCUAUCCCUAGAGGACAGCAUCUUGGACUGCCUUUGGGAGGCAGGACAAUAGUCAGUUAGCAUCUAGGACAGUCCUUGUGGACAGUAGCAUGGUGGCCUUGCUGCCCCAUCUAGGACAGCAGCAGUUAGCAUCUUAGACUAGCUUUUGGACUAGAAUCUUAGACUAGCAUCCUGUUUGCCCAGCCAGCUAUAAAUAUGUAUCCCCAGCCCCUUGGGUUGGCAUGGCUUUGAGUUUGUGAAUAUGAGAAAACCAGAAAAUUGCCCCAAAUUCAUUGUCAUCCUCUCAGCUCAUGAGAGUUAGAAUUGAGCUUCUAACAAGGCUGAAGGCUGCUGGAGCUGCCGAACAGAGUGCUUGUUUGCACUGUAUGGUCUUUCGAUUGACUUUUGUAGAACUUAUUUAUUGUUGACACAGAUACGAUUCAUGUUCUCUGUUUUGUGCAUUAUUUUCUUCCUUUGGUUCUGGAUAUAAUUAUUUCUCUUUUGUUGCUGCCAUGUCAAGAUCUUCUUAAGAGAGCAUGGGGUUGGGAAAGGUUGCUGCCCAGAGUUCACGGUUCCAUUGAUUGGGAUCAAUACAAGACAUACCUUGAGGAGUUUUAUCAGCACAAUGCUGACAAAGCAGCUGGCAAAGAAACACUGCGUGCUGCAGCCAGCCAGGUAAGGUCUCCUUGCUUCUCAAACAAAACUUUGGCUUGCCCCACUUUUCCAGUUGCCGACUAAUUGCUUCCUCUGUUGGGAAAACACCCUUUAUAGUGUAUCAGCAUAGAGCAUGAACUUGUGUGUUGGUGCGUUCGCAUUUUCAAUAUGGAAGAUAUGCGGAUGUGCAGUCAGAUCCAGGAACGUGCAAAGGUUGUGUUAAACUCAGAGGGUGAAUACCCUGCUGCAGCUGCGGCCUUGCUGGUACGUCUUUUACAAACUUUACAAAACUUUGGCCUAUCUAUUCUGGUAGUAAUUAUUUAAUGUUAACUUAUUUUUGCACCCAUUGCAAAUGAUGGUUCCAAGUCUAUUAAGACUGAGGCAGAGUUGAUGGCCGAGUUGUUGAGUCGUGAUUAUGACAACAGUGUGGUCACCAUAGGCAAUAAGAUCCGUCGCCUUGCCUUAAAUCUAAUGCUAUACAAAGGCUCUGAAUAUGCAGCAGUCUCAGGUGGCCUAUUUUGUGCUGAUCCUUUUGCGCUAACAAGCUUUUUGUAACAAGGGUGUUACAAAAGAGGCUACUAUCAUUCUUGACUCAGCACGACAAAAAUCUCUUUGGGGCAAGCACGCAAUAUUAUCAUCAUCUGCGGAUGCGUAAAAGUAUUGCAGCUGAUUUGGCCAAACUUGAGCAAGAGCUUUCUUACAAGACUACUGGUUAUGAUGGCACUCUUGCUAGUGGCAAAACAUGUGAAAAGGGGAUGGAGAAGAGGAAUGAAAGUUUGAACAAUCAAACAGAAAUUGAAGAUGUCAGGGCCCAGCCGGCCCAUGCACCUGAACCGGUGCAACCAGCCCAUGCGCCUGAACCGGCGCAACCACCACCGGUGAUCACAUAUCAGCGUCGCCGUCGCACAAGUGGCUAGGAUUUGCUUCUCUAGAUAUUUUUAUUAUUUCCACAAGACUAGUUUGGGAUUUGUAAAGGGAUAUAAAUAUCCCUAAAACAGAAUGUGGAGAUAUUAAGCAAAGGUUUAUUCUUGCCCUGCCUCACGGGGCUACCUCCAGCGCCGCCUCUCUUCCUGCCCUCGCGAUCUUCCUCCCUCGAGCCGCCACCUCCCCGCGUCACGGCGUCGUCUUGCCAUCGGGGGUUCAAGCCCCCACCACCCGUCUCCUGCUCCUACCACCUACGCAGCCACCACAGGAUUGCUGAUCCUAUCAAUCUGGUAUCAGCAAUGACACGAAUAAGACUGCAGCUCCAGGCCCACAGCUGACACAUUUGAUGUCCAGUGUUGCCAAUUUACCAAAGCUCCUCGAGUCUAGUUGGCUAAAUGAGCUGAGGUAUGGUCGCCCCCAUAAGAUCGUGAGUUCGAAUUCCAGCUGGGACGAAUUUUCGCUUGUGGGCAAAACAAUCCCUCUCGAUGUGCUCGCCACAAGGCUCGGGCAUGGGCCAGGGUUCGGGGAGUUUUUUCGCGGCCGGUGAAACCGUGUUGUUUUCUCUUAAUGAAAAAUGGAACUGUCUGAAGGGAACUACUGAAAAUGGACUCGGCUGCUGUUUUCCACUGCUAAUUUAUUUAGUUCGUGAGUGGCCUAGCUUUUUCUUUUAUGUUGGAGUUGGACUAGUGGUGAACUAUGUGGUAAGAUUAAGAUACAUGUGAUGUUUGAUAUGUGUAUUUGCUGUGAAAUGUUGCUGUGAA